UUUGAUAUAUUUUAUUUUUAGAAUUUAUUUUUUGGGAAAAUAAGGACGUAGUCAAAU
rnacentral:tRNA from 1 species